rnacentral:rRNA from 1 species
UGUAGAGAAUCUGCCCUGUACUGGGGGACAACAGAGGGAAACUUCUGCUAAUACCCCAUAUGAGCGUACCUGCGAUGGUAUUCUUGAAAGUUCCGGCGGUACAGGAUGAGUCUGCAUCUGAUUAGCUAGUUGGUGGCGUAAUGGACUACCAAGGCGACGAUCAGUAGCUGGUUUGAGAGGAUGAUCAGCCACAAUGGGACUGAGACACGGCCCAUACUCCUACGGAAGGCAGCAG